rnacentral:rRNA from 1 species
CCUACGGGGGGCAGCAGUGAGGAAUUUUCCGCAAUGGGGGAAACCCUGACGGAGCAACGCCGCGUGCAGGAUGACGGCCUUCGGGUUGUAAACUGCUUUUCUUUGGGACGAGCAAGGACGGUACCAGAGGAAUCAGCCCCGGCUAACUACGUGCCAGCAGCCGCGGUAAUACGUAGGGGGCAAGCGUUGUCCGGAGUUACUGGGCGUAAAGCGCCCGCAGGCGGUCGUGAACGUUUGGGAUGACAGGGGUCGGCUUACCCGACUCAGCGUUUCAAAAACGGCACGACUUGAGGGCCAGAGAGGGACAGGGAAUUCCGAGUGGAGUGGUGAAAUGCGUAGAUAUUCGGAGGAACACCAAAGGCGAAGGCACUGUCCUGGAUGGUACCUGACGCUCAGGGGCGAAAGCCAGGGGAGCGAACGGGAUUAGAUACCCCGGUAGUC